rnacentral:rRNA from 1 species
UACGUAGGGGGCGAGCGUUGUCCGGAGUUACUGGGCGUAAAGCGCACGCAGGCGGUCUGCUAAGUUUGGAGUGACAGUUGGUGGCUUAACUGCCAAAGUGCUUCGAAAACUGACAGACUUGAGGGCUUCAGAGGGACACGGAAUUCCGGGUGGAGUGGUGAAAUGUCGUAGAGAUCCGGAGGAACACCAAAGGCGAAGGCAGUGUCCUGGGGAGUACCUGACGCUCGAGGUGACGGAAA